CGAGUGGUUAAGGCGAUGGAUUGCUAAUCCAUUACUCUUUGAGUGCGAGAGUUCGAAUCUCUCCGAU
rnacentral:tRNA from 14 species